UGGGGAAUAUUGCACAAUGGGCGCAAGCCUGAUGCAGCCAUGCCGCGUGUGUGAAGAAGGCCUUCGGGUUGUAAAGCACUUUCAGCGGGGAGGAAGGCGUUAAGGUUAAUAACCUUUGCGAUUGACGUUACCCGCAGAAGAAGCACCGGCUAACUCCGUGCCAGCAGCCGCGGUAAUACGGAGGUUGCAAGCGUUAAUCGGAAUUACUGGGCGUAAAGCGAACGCAGGCGGUCUGUCAAGUCGGAUGUGAAAUCCCCGUGCUCAACCUGGAAACUGCAUUCGAACCUGGCAGGCUAGAGGCUUGUAGAGGGGGGUAGAAUUCCAGGUGUAGCGGUGAAAUGCGUAGAGAACUGGAGGAAUACCGGUGACGAAGGCGGCGCCCUGGACGAAGACUGACACUCAGGUGCGAAAGCGUGGGGAGCAAACAGG
rnacentral:rRNA from 1 species